CGACCUGAGCUCAGGCAAGGUUACCCGCUGAACUUAAGCAUAUCAUUAAGCGGUGGAAAAGAAACUAACCAGGAUUCCCCUAGUAACGGCGAGCGAACCGGGAAUAGCCCAACUUGAAAAUCUCCCCUUGGAGAAUUGUAGUCUACAGAAGCGCCCUCAUGGGCUGGCGGAACUCAAGUCGGAUCGAAUGCCGCGUCAGAGAGGGUGAUAACCCCGUCGGUUCCUGCCUAGUCCUCUCACGAGGUGCUUUCCACGAGUCGGGUUGUUUGGGAAUGCAGCCCUAAUUUGGAGGUAAAUCCCUUCUAAGGCUAAAUACUGCUGAGAGACCGAUAGCGAACAAGUACCGUGAGGGAAAGAUGAAAAGAACUUUGAAAAGAGAGUUAAAAGUGCUUGAAAUUGUUGAGAGGGAAGCGAUUAGCGCUUGUGUGUGCCCCCAGGCUUAAGUGUGCCUAACGGCCCAUUGAAUGUGCUGNGUGCUGGUCAGAGUGGGUUGUCUUGGCGGGAAAACAGUUGGGUCCACCCCGGUAACCCGGCCGAUGCCGCCGAGAUGACCAAGGCGUGAAGGUUGCUUUGUCCUUCGGGAUCCGCAUCCUAAAGACUCUGGCAGAAAAGCGUUAANNNNNNNNNNNNNNNNNNNNNNNNNNNNNNNNNNNNNNNNNNNNNNNNNNNNNNNNNNNNNNNNNNNNNNNNNNNNNNNNNNNNNNNNNNNNNNNNNNNNNNNNNNNNNNNNNUCGAUCGAUGAAGACGCAGCGAAAUGCGAUACGUAGUGUGAAUUGCAGAAAUACGUGAAUCAUCGAAUCUUUGAACGCAAAUUGCGCUUGAGGCUUCGGCCAAGAGCAUGUCUGCCUCAGCGUCGGGUUAAAUCUCAAUGCCGUACACACGCAUGAUGAUGCAUGUGUACGACAUUGGAUCUUGUUUUCUCGGCAUUAAAUCAUUUACUCAAAUCGUUUAAUGCCGGGUGAAUUGAAGUAUGUAGAUGCUUAACCGUGGACCGUUUCAUCGGGCCUUUACUGGGUAGGCAAAGUCAGCGUUAUGUAAUGCAUACGUUGCUUGCUGCAAUGCUUUAGUAGAUGGCUUUGAGGUUCUGUGUUUCGCAAAAAAUCAGGAUUACUGUUGUACUGCACGGGACUCUGUAGUACUGUGUAGUACAGCAAGUGUACUAUUUUUUUCUCGACCUGAGCUCAGGCAAGGUUACCCGCUGAACUUAAGCAUAUCAUUAAGCGGUGGAAAAGAAACUAACCAGGAUUCCCCUAGUAACGGCGAGCGAACCGGGAAUAGCCCAACUUGAAAAUCUCCCCUUGGAGAAUUGUAGUCUACAGAAGCGCCCUCAUGGGCUGGCGGAACUCAAGUCGGAUCGAAUGCCGCGUCAGAGAGGGUGAUAACCCCGUCGGUUCCUGCCUAGUCCUCUCACGAGGUGCUUUCCACGAGUCGGGUUGUUUGGGAAUGCAGCCCUAAUUUGGAGGUAAAUCCCUUCUAAGGCUAAAUACUGCUGAGAGACCGAUAGCGAACAAGUACCGUGAGGGANAGAUGAAAAGAACUUUGAAAAGAGAGUUAAAAGUGCUUGAAAUUGUUGAGAGGGAAGCGAUUAGCGCUUGUGUGUGCCCCCAGGCUUAAGUGUGCCUAACGGCCCAUUGAAUGUGCUGGGUGCUGGUCAGAGUGGGUUGUCUUGGCGGGAAAACAGUUGGGUCCACCCCGGUAACCCGGCCGAUGCCGCCGAGAUGACCAAGGCGUGAAGGUUGCUUUGUCCUUCGGGAUCCGCAUCCUAAAGACUCUGGCAGAAAAGCGUUAAUCGACCCGUCUUGAAACACGGACCAAGGAGUCUAACAUGUAUGCGAGUUGGCGGGUUGAAAACCCGUAAGCGCAAGUAACCUGACUGGUGGGAUGGCCUGUGCCUGCACCAUCGACCGACCAUGUUGCUUUUGCGAAAGGUUUGAGUGCGAGCAUACCUGUUGGGACCCGAAAGAUGGUGAACUAUGCCUGAGCAGGGUGAAGCCAGAGUAACCUCUGGUGGAGGCUCGUAGAUGUGCUGACGUGCAAAUCGCUUUUCAGACUUGGGUAUAGGGGCGAAAGACUAAUCGAACCAUCUAGUAGCUGGUUCCCUCCGAAGUUUCCCCCAGGAUAGCUGGAGCUUGAUCAGUUUUAUCGGGUAAAGCGAAUGAUUAGAGGUUCGGGGGAUGAAACAUCCUUCACCUAUUCUCAAACUUUAAAUAGGUAAGACGUGUCGGUUGCUUAACUGAACCGUCACAUUCAAUGUGAGCUCCAAGUGGGCCAUUUUUGGUAAGCAGAACUGGCGAUGCGGGAUGAACCGAUAGUCGAGUUAAGGUGCCAAACUGCGCGCUAACCUAGAUCCCACAAAGGGUGUUGAUUGAUAUAAACAGCAGGACGGUGGUCAUGGAAGUCGAAAUCCGCUAAGGAGUGUGUAACAACUCACCUGCCGAAUCAAUUAGCCCCGAAAAUGGAUGGCGCUUAAGCGCGCGACCUAUACUCGGCCAUGGAUGCA
rfam:Volvox carteri f. nagariensis unplaced genomic scaffold VOLCAscaffold_550, whole genome shotgun sequence.